UGAAGCUUUGUAGCUUUGAG
rnacentral:snRNA from 1 species